CAAUAAGCGGAGGAAAAGAAACCAACAGGGAUUGCCUUAGUAGCGGCGAGCGAAGCGGCAACAGCUCAAAUUUGAAAUCUGGCUACUUUGUAGUUCGAGUUGUAAUUUGUAGAGGAUGCUUUUGGUGAGGUGCCUUCCGAGUUCCCUGGAACGGGACGCCAGAGAGGGUGAGAGCCCCGUACGGUUGGAUACCAAACCUUUGUAUAGCUCCUUCAACGAGUCGAGUAGUUUGGGAAUGCUGCUCUAAAUGGGAGGUAUAUCUCUUCUAAAGCUAAAUACCGGCUAGAGACCGAUAGCGCACAAGUAGAGUGAUCGAAAGAUGAAAAGCACUUUGAAAAGAGAGUUAAACAGCACGUGAAAUUGUUGAAAGGGAAGCGCCUAUGACCAGACUUGUUUCUGUCAGUUUUGCUCGUUCUCGGACUUGUUUACUCUGUCAGUACAGGCCAACAUCAGUUUGUUGUUUGGGAGAAAGGCUUAGGGAAUGUGGCUCUUUCGGGAGUGUUAUAGCCCUUUGCAUAAUACCAUUCGGCAGACUGAGGACCGCGCUUCGGCAAGGAUGUUGGCGUAAUGG
rnacentral:rRNA from 1 species